rnacentral:rRNA from 1 species
UACGUAGGCAGCGAGCGUUGUUCGGAGUUACUGGGCGUAAAGCGUGCGUAGGCGGUUGUCUAAGUCUGGUGUGAAAUCUCCCGGCUCAACCGGGAGGGUGCGCCGAAAACUGGGAGACUAGAGUGCGGGAUGGGAGAGUAGAAUUCCUGGUGUAGCGGUGAAAUGCGCAGAUAUCAGGAAGAACACCCGUGGCUAAGGCGGCUCUCUAGUACGGUACUGACGCUGAGACGCGAAAGCGUGGGGAGCGAACAGG